UCAAAGAAAACUAAAAGUGCCAUGUCAAAGUUGAUGACCAGAAGCUUGCUAUUGGAACCCUCUCUAUUGAAAAAUACCCCUAGAUAGAAAUUGAUUUGGUUUUCAAUAAAGAGUAUGAAGAGAAGGAGCUAAACAUUCCAGUAAUCAAGGAAAAUGGCUAAGGUGAUGGGAAGGAGGACCAGAGAAGUGAAGAGAAGGCAGUUGCUGCAGCUUCAAAAUCAAGUCUUGGGCUUGAAAAAAAAGCAAGGAUGAGUAUGAGUCUGAUGAUUCUGAUGAGGGAGAAGGUGAAACUGGAGAAUGAGCAGAUGUGGCUGUUCAUGGACGACAACAUCAAGAAACCUGCAACAUGCAACCUGAUUUUAAGAAAUCUACCACCUGCAACAUG